rnacentral:rRNA from 1 species
GAUCAUGGCUCAGGACGAACGCUGGCGGCGUGCUUAACACAUGCAAGUCGAACGGAAAGGCCCUUCGGGGUACUCGAGUGGCGAACGGGUGAGUAACACGUAGGUGAUCUGCCCUGCACUUUGGGAUAAGCCUGGGAAACUGGGUCUAAUACCGAAUAGGACCACGCGCUUCAUGGUGUGUGGUGGAAAGCUUUUGCGGUGUGGGAUGGGCCCGCGGCCUAUCAGCUUGUUGGUGGGGUAAUGGCCUACCAAGGCGACGACGGGUAGCCGGCCUGAGAGGGUGACCGGCCACACUGGGACUGAGAUACGGCCCAGACUCCUACGGGAGGCAGCAGUGGGGAAUAUUGCACAAUGGGCGCAAGCCUGAUGCAGCGACGCCGCGUGAGGGAUGACGGCCUUCGGGUUGUAAACCUCUUUCAAUAGGGACGAAGCGUGAGUGACGGUACCUAUAGAAGAAGCACCGGCCAACUACGUG